rnacentral:tRNA from 1 species
GCCCUGGUAGCUCAGUUGGUAGAGCGUACGUGCUUGUUCUCGUCGCCAUUCCGCCGUUCCUCAUUCAAUUCAUAUACAGGUGAGACUUUUAAUCUCAAUGUCCAGGGUUCGAGCCCCUGUUGGGGCG